AGUGAACGCUGGCGGCAGGCCUAAUACAUGCAAGUCGAACGGCAGCACAGCAGAGCUUGCUCUGUGGGUGGCGAGUGGCGGACGGGUGAGGAAUACGUGGGAAUCUGCCCAGUCGUGGGGGAUAACGUAGGGAAACUUACGCUAAUACCGCAUGCGCCCUUCGGGGGAAAGCCGGGGACCUUCGGGCCUGGCGCGAUUGGAUGAGCCCACGUCGGAUUAGCUAGUUGGCGGGGUAAAGGCCCACCAAGGCGACGAUCCGUAGCUGGUCUGAGAGGAUGAUCAGCCACACUGGAACUGAGACACGGUCCAGACUCCUACGGGAGGCAGCAGUAGGGAAUAUUGGACAAUGGGGCGCAAGCCUGAUCCAGCCAUGCCGCGUGAGUGAAGAAGGCCCUCGGGUUGUAAGCUCUUUUGUCCGGAAAGAAAAGCGCCGGGUUAAUACCCUGGUGUCCUGACGGUACCGGAAGAAUAAGCACCGGCUAACUCGUGCCAGCAGCCGAC
rnacentral:rRNA from 1 species